GCUAGCCGUAAACCUAGACAUUAAUUUACAAUAAAAUGUCCGCCAGGGUAUUACGAGCAUUAGCUUAAAACCCAAAGGACCUGACGGUGUUUCAGAUCCACCUAGAGGAGCCUGUUCUAUAACUGAUAACCCCCGUUAAACCUCACCACUUCUAGUCACCCCAGUCUAUAUACCACCGUCGUAAGCUUACCCUGUGAGGGCAGAAAAGUGAGCAAAAUGAGUAUAACCCAGAACGUCAGGUCGAGGUGUAGCGCAUGAAGUGGGAAGAAAUGGGCUACAUUUUCUGUACAGAAUAUUACGGACGUGCACCAUGAAACAGUGCUUGAAGGAGGAUUUAGAAGUAAAAGGAAAACAGAGUGUCCCUUUGAACUAGGCUCUGAAACGCGUACACACCGCCCGUCACCCUCUGGCAGUCAA
rnacentral:rRNA from 1 species